rnacentral:rRNA from 1 species
AGUAAGCGUGGGUAACCGUGCCUCAUACAGGGGGAUAACAGUUAGAAAUAGACUGCUAAUACCGCAUAAGCGCACAGUGCUGCAUGGCACAGUGUGAAAAACUCCGGUGGUAUGAGAUGGACCCGCGUCUGAUUAGCUAGUUGGUGGGGUAACGGCCUACCAAGGCGACGAUCAGUAGCCGGCCUGAGAGGGUGAACGGCCACAUUGGGACUGAGACACGGCCCAA